rnacentral:rRNA from 1 species
AUGCUAGUGAUGUAUCUGGUCAAGAAUCACGGUGAGCGCGAGGAUGAACGCCUGGUCGACGCCGGGGUUGAUCCUCGCGGUAUACGUGUGCCUCCCGAGGAACGCGCCGCCGGCCGUGUUCUGGCGGCUGAUCCGCGCGACGAUGGUGCCAUCGGAGUCGUCGCCGCCGCCGCCACCUCCAGCAGAGACCGUGCACGCGCCGGCGUAGUAGCUGCCGCCGAUGACGAAGUCCGGGACCCGCUCGCCGGAGCCGUUGCCGGCGAGGAACACGCGCACCUUGGUCCUGGCGAGCUGCACGGGCGCGGUCUUCACCGCGACGAAGAGCAGGUUCCUCCGGCUGGUGCUGUCCCCCCUGUACGCCUCCCACCUCGUGCUCGCUAG